AAGUCGUAACAAGGUCUCCGUAGGUGAACCCGCGGAGGGAUCAUUACAAGAACGCCCGGGCUUCGGCCUGGUUAUUCAUAACCCUUUGUUGUCCGACUCUGUUGCCUCCGGGGCGACCCUGCCUUCGGGCGGGGGCUCCGGGUGGACACUUCAAACUCUUGCGUAACUUUGCAGUCUGAGUAAACUUAAUUAAUAAAUUAAAACUUUUAACAACGGAUCUCUUGGUUCUGGCAUCGAUGAAGAACGCAGCGAAAUGCGAUAAGUAAUGUGAAUUGCAGAAUUCAGUGAAUCAUCGAAUCUUUGAACGCACAUUGCGCCCCCUGGUAUUCCGGGGGGCAUGCCUGUUCGAGCGUCAUUUCACCACUCAAGCCUCGCUUGGUAUUGGGCAACGCGGUCCGCCGCGUGCCUCAAAUCGUCCGGCUGGGUCUUCUGUCCCCUAAGCGUUGUGGAAACUAUUCGCUAAAGGGUGUUCGGGAGGCUACGCCGUAAAACAACCCCAUUUCUAAGGUUGACCUCGGAUCAGGUAGGGAUACCCGCUGAACUUAA
rnacentral:sRNA from 1 species